UACUCUGAGCAUGGACAUCUGGAGAAUGGGCAGGACUAUGUGUGGCUACACCAAAAAGUAUCAUGUGCAGAACAAGGGGCAGGAAAGGUUUUAGUCUGGGAUGCCCCCACUUUCCUUUACGUUAUGCAAGUAUUUACUGUGCAAAGAUACUAGAAGUCAAAGCAUAAUUUUCAGGAAAGCCUACCUGGGGAAGGAAAGCAGAUAUGUGUCAGCAGCCUCCCUUCCUCUCUGCUGUGUCAUAUCCAGUAGAGUCAUUCACCCACUGAAAGCAGAGCACUUCCGAGGUGUGUAUCAUGUUACUGCUCCUGUGAUCCAUCAAGUGCUGCAUGUCCUUUUCUGUGUGACUCAAAUAUAGCAGUCCUGUUGUUGUU